CCCGGCUGUGAGGCACAUCUGGGACCCUGAGCUCUGGGUUCUGGACUCCUUCGCCCCAUUCUGGGCACCACAGCCCUCAGCUAUGAGACUCACAGGGUAUUUGGUUAGAUCCUUCCUUCUCAUUCAUUUGUUCUUUUAUUCAUUCACUCACUCGUAGUUAAAUCUGUGCCCACCAAGGGCCAGGGCUUUGUGCUGAGGGGACCCCAGUCCUCAUGAGACUGACAGGUCUGUAUUUCUGGAGCCAAUCUAGGCCUCUUCUCUCCUCCACCCCCCAUAUCCCCACCAAGCCUGGGCCAGGCCUGGGCAGAGGAAGACACAGGGGAGGCAGAAAUCAGUAGAUUUGACUGCAGAGGUGAGUGUUCUGGGGGUUUCUGAACCUACUGAAGGGCAGAACUUACUUAAGGUGGGGGAGAGAAGCCCUGUGUGUGCCAAGUACUUGACCUUCAUGUCCUCAUCUAACCCCCAAUAAUGCUGCCAGGCAGCUAUCACCCACAGCGACAAAAGAUGAAACUGAGGCUAAGAGAAAUGGAGGGACUUGGCUAAGAUCAUACAGCCAGUGAGCCAUGGAGCUGGGACCAGCCCUCAAGCCGGUGAAUAUGAGCCUGCCUUUGCUCCAGGGCCCCAGGCUGCUUUCCAGAGUAUGGAGUCUGCCCGUAGAGAGCCAAGUACCCCCUUGGCCGGCCAAGCAGCCAGAGAGUAUAUCUCAGGAGAUCCCUGCCCCCACGCUCCCCUGGGCAGUGCACCACCAGAUGGGCGUGGCACCAAUCUUUUGGAAAUCUGUCACGGGGAAAAACCGGUCCAGAAAGCCUGCCUCACUGCAAACUCUUCUAGGAAUAAAAUCAUUCCUCAGAUGCUUGCGCUAGGCAUAUAAGAGACACCUGCCAUCAGCAAAGUCAGAGUUGAGCAGAAGAGCCAAGACUUGGAUGCAACUGAGUAGGACAUAAGGCGCCCCCCAGAAGAAUAGUGAAGGGCAAUGGUCAUCGUAGGUGCCAUGCAAAAAAACACAGAUGUUGGAAUCAGUGACAUAGGUUUGAAUCUAGCUCCCCAACAUCCUGCCUGUGUGAUCUUGGAUAAUUUAAGUUACUUAAGUUACUUAAGUUAGUUAAGUAACUUAAAUUUAAAGUAAGUUACUUAAAUCCUGUAAGCCUCAAUUUCCUUAUUUGUGAAGUGGAAAUAACAAUACCUACCUACCUCACAGGGUUAUUGUGAGAAUUAAAAGCACCCAGCUCAACGUCUGCCAUGUAAUAGAUAUAAUAGAUGUUUGAUAAAUGGUACCCAUCACUAUUUUUGGUUACACCCUUAAGCAUAACAAGAGUCAAAACAUGACUUAGCUGACUGUAA